AUCACUAAGUUUUUAAUCACAAGAUGUGACAGCGUACUGUCUGGCCACCAGAGGGCGAACUGGAGCUGCAGUGUAUUCCAGUGGGAUGUUGGAGACCUGACGCCAUCUUCCUGUAAUCUGGUGUGUUUUUCCUUAGCAAGCGGUGAACUAACAGUGCAGAAAUCAUGGGGAGGAAGAAGAAAAAGCAAAUGAAGCCAUGGUGCUGGUACUGUAACAGAGAUUUUGAUGAUGAAAAAAUUCUCAUUCAGCACCAGAAGGCUAAACAUUUCAAGUGUCACAUCUGUCAUAAAAAGCUGUACACUGGCCCUGGGCUUGCUAUCCACUGUAUGCAGGUACACAAAGAGACCAUUGAUGCAGUUCCUAAUGCAAUACCUGGAAGAACUGAUAUUGAACUAGAGAUAUAUGGCAUGGAGGGUAUUCCAGAAAAAGACAUGGAGGAGAGAAGACGAGUGCUGGAACAGAAGAAUCAAGACUCUCAGAAGAAAAGGCUGAACCAGGAUGACUCUGAUGAAGAUGAGGAGGAUGAAGAGCCUGGCCCUUCCUUCCAGCAGGUGGCUGUAGGUCAGCCUCAGGCAGGUUACAUCCCACAUAUGAACCUGUCGGGUGUGCCUCCUGGCUCUGCCGCUCCAGGGAUACCACCAAGCGGAUACUCAGGAAUACACCCGAUGAUACCAGGUGUCCCACCGAUGAUGCCAGGCCUGCCCCGUGUAAUGCCAGGAAUGCCCCCAGGGAUGAUCCCAGUGGGAGGGAUAAUACCACCAAUGAUGCCAGGUAUGCCACCAGGCAUUCCUCCUCCGGUGUGCCACCGUCCUGGCAUCACCCACAUGCCUCAGGUCCCCCCUGCUGCAAGCAUCCUCACCAGACCUGCAGCCCCUCUUGCUUCUGCCCCAUCAGCCCAGCCCGAUAUCACAAAACCUCUGUUCCCCAGUGCUGGACAGAGUCAGCAGGUGUUGUCAGGGUCCCUUCACACUACCCCAUCCACUACCUCUGACCCCUCAAAGCCCACAUUUCCAGCCUACACUCCGACCACCGUGGGUGUGGCCAGCCCCAAUGCUGGUAGCAGUACUGUCUCCAAACCUCCCUCCACUGUGACCAGUAAGCCCGCCACCCUCACCACCUCCAGUGCAACCAGUAAGUUGAUCCACCCUGAUGAGGAUCUCUCACUGGUAAGUAGUCCAGCUUUAACUGUGUCUUUACAGCUUUUGACAGUAAGGAGGUGCACAGAAGAAGAGAUAGUUUCUGUUAGCAUCACAUUGAUAACAUGUUUCUUAACAAAUUUGUUUUUUCUUGUAGUUGAGUGGCAGAACUGUGGUGUCAAUCAUUUCUGCUCUCAUUGCUUUCUGUGUGCUGUAGGAAGAGUUACGGACUCAGCUGCCCAGGUAUCAGUGCAGUAUGCCCCACCAAGGCCAGGCUGGCGCUGCUGCCCCAUCAGUGGGUCCUGUGGGUGGCAUAAUGGCUCCUCAGCAACUCAGCGUGGGGAAUCGCAUGCCUGGCCAGUAUGGUGGUCCACCACGAGGGAUACCUGGGUACAUACCAGGUCAGAUGUCCCCGUUUGGACAGGCCCCUCCUGUGAUCCCUCCAAGGUAUCAAGGAGUGCCAUCGCGGCCACCAGUGGGUAUAAGACCCCCUUCCAUGUCUCCUGGGGGCCACUACUGAAGUCUGCUUCCUUCUCUUCUAUAGGUGUAUAGAAGUGUAGUAGAUAUGGUUCGUAGUGUUGUGAAGGCGCUGGAGUUACAUUGGCAGUUCCCACCCUUUAUCAAGCGAUGCCAUGGGGGACUGGCUGAGGCCCUGUCUCAGUGUAGCCCUGUUUCAGCCUGAGGCAAGUCUCACUGUUUUCUGUCUUCUCAUUCAUUAGCAGGGGCCCUCACAGCGUACGCGCUGUUGGAUAUCAAUGUCCCCAAACUUGCAGCAAGUUUGGUGAAGGCCCUUGUUUUUUUUAUGUUGCUUUUAUGCAUCAUGUUCUUCAGGCAUGUUAACUCAUGUAAGUGAAAAUUAUUUAUGUUAAGGUGUUUUGUCAUAUCCACCUUUUUUAUUUAGUUAUUUUUAACCAAUGAGAGCACUGGGAAGUUUUGUUUUCAUUUAAUAGUUCUUUCCUGGGUGCUUAAAGCUUUUAAAGGAAACUAUUCCUGUUGAAGCUCUGGAUAUCUCUUAGUCCUGAUGUGGUUUAAGGUGUUUAUUUAUAAGUACCUCCACAUCAGGACCACCGGGAGCAAUCUGACUCCUGCAACUAGUUUAUGAAUUUAAUGUGUGAUUGGAAGUUCAGAUGAAAAGAAAGAGACUUUUCUUGUGUUUGUAAAAAUGGUUUUACCACUUAAUCCUGUUUUUGUCAUCAGCUGUUCCCACUCUUGAUAAUUUGAUUUUUAACUACUCACAUGAAGGACAAUCUCUGCUGAUAACAGGUUUGUUUAAGCUGUAAGUACCGACACCAUCAUUUUAAUUUCUAUGGAGCUGUGUUCUUUCUGUGUGAAAAGAGCCUUACUUAUUACUGCAGCGUUACCCUCUGAUGUCAGCCAGUCAUUUAGUAUCAUCUCAAGGAGUAUAUCAUAAAUAGUUUUCUGGCUACUUGUUUGUCAGUGCUUAAAAUAAUCUAAGGUAUCCAUGCUACAGGCAGGGCCUUGACUGGUAAGUAUGGCCUCAUACAAUUUUGUAAACACCACAUAGUAAUUUACAGGGCGCUUUAUCAAAGUACUUUUCACCAUGUUUUAAUUGUUUUUAAAAUUAAAAUAUGAAAGGCUGGAAAAGCUCAAACUUGCCACCUACUCCUUGUGACAGUCUAACUGAUGAUCUAGAUACAGCCACAGUGCAUGCAAUGAGGCAUAGCAGUGUUUACGCUCUCUGGUUGAGAAAAUAGAGACGAUGUAUGUAUAGGCAUAGGAUGUGUAUAGUUCACUAGAAAUAACCUUUGAACUGCUAAGAAAUUUUCAAGGUUUGACUUGCUUGAAAAAGGAAUAAAUGAUCUCCUCUGUGGCUCCAUCUAUGAUCAAAAGAGGGAGAAAAAUCCCUUUAAGCUGCUUCCAUGUAUAAAAUGUACAGCC